CGGGAGAAUUGCUAGCUUGCUAAUAAUUCUCUAGUGGCGCACGGGUGAGUAACACGUGAGUAACCUGCCCCCAAGAGUGGGAUAGCCCCGGGAAACUGGGAUUAAUACCGCAUAAAAUCGCAAGAUUAAAGCAGCAAUGCGCUUGGGGAUGGGCUCGCGUCCUAUUAGUUAGUUGGUGAGGUAACGGCUCACCAAGGCGAUGACGGGUAGCCGGUCUGAGAGGAUGUCCGGCCACACUGGAACUGAGACACGGUCCAGACACCUACGGGUGGCAGCAGUCGAGAAUCAUUCACAAUGGGGGAAACCCUGAUGGUGCGACGCCGCGUGGGGGAAUGAAGGUCUUCGGAUUGUAAACCCCUGUCAUGUGGGAGCAAAUUAAAAAGAUAGUACCACAAGAGGAAGAGACGGCUAACUCUGUGCCAGCAGCCGCGGUAAUACAGAGGUCUCAAGCGUUGUUCGGAAUCACUGGGCGUAAAGCGUGCGUAGGCGGUUUCGUAAGUCGUGUGUGAAAGGCGGGGGCUCAACCCCCGGACUGCACAUGAUACUGCGAGACUAGAGUAAUGGAGGGGGAACCGGAAUUCUCGGUGUAGCAGUGAAAUGCGUAGAUAUCGAGAGGAACACUCGUGGCGAAGGCGGGUUCCUGGACAUUAACUGACGC
rnacentral:rRNA from 1 species